rnacentral:rRNA from 1 species
AGUGAGGAAGGCUUUCGGGUCGUAAAGCUCUGUUGCCAGGGAAGAAUAAGGGUGAGAGUAACUGCUCACUUUGAUGACGGUACCUGAGAAGAAAGCCCCGGCUAACUACGUGCCAGCAGCCGCGGUAAUACGUAGGGGGCAAGCGUUGUCCGGAAUUAUUGGGCGUAAAGCGCGCGCAGGCGGUUCUUUAAGUCUGGUGUCUAAGUGCGGGGCUCAACCCCGUGAUGCACUGGAAACUGGGGAACUUGAGUGCAGAAGAGGAGAGCGGAAUUCCACGUGUAGCGGUGAAAUGCGUAGAGAUGUGGAGGAACACCAGUGGCGAAGGCGGCUCUCUGGACUGUAACUGACGCUGAGGCGCGAAAGCGUGGGGAGCAAACAGGAUUAGAUACCCUGGUAGUCCACGCUGUAAACGAUGAGUGCUAGGUGUUGGGGGUAUCAUGCCCUCGGUGCCGAAGUUAACACAUUAAGCACUCCGCCUGGGGAGUACGGUCGCAAGACUG